AGGAAGCGGAAGACUAAUGACCGAAGCUUCAAGACUUUGACAUGUGUGAAAACAUGAAAUGACAGAGUGUUGCUCAGUUACCCAGGCUGGAGUGCAAUGGCAUGAUCUUGGCUCACUGCAGCCUCCACCUCCUGGGUUCAAGCGGUUCUCGUGCCUCAGUCUCCCAAGUAGCUGGGAUUACAGGCUGGAGUGCGAUGGCAUGAUCUUGGCUCACGGCAAACUCCGCCUCCCUGGUUCAAGUGAUUCUCCUGCCUCAGCCUCCCGAGUAGCCGGGAUUACAGGCAUGUGCCACCAUGCCCCGUUGGCCAGGCUGGUCUCGAACACCUUACCUCAGGUGAUCCUCCCACCUUUGGGAUUACAGGCUGAGGAAUUACCAAGGAGGCAGGAGGUGGAGCAAAACACACCAAGCCUGGUGCCAAUCAUUGACAAUAUUAUGACCCUGCAUGUGAUGGAUCAGCUGACACCAUCCAGAUCGGUAAACUGGUUCAUCUGAUCUUGUGCCCUCCACCCAGGAACUGACUCAGCGCAAGAAGACAGCUUCGACUCCUUGUGAUUUCAUCCCUAACCAAUCAGCACUCCUGGCUCACUGGCUUCCCCCAACCCACCAAAUUGUCCUUAAAAACUCUGCUCUCCAAACGCUGGGGGAGACUGAUUUGAGUAAUAAUAAAACCCUGGUCUCCUGCA
ensembl:lncRNA PCED1B-AS1 PCED1B antisense RNA 1